GAUGAACGCUGGCGGCGUGCUUAACACAUGCAAGUCGAACGAUGAAGCCCAGCUUGCUGGGUGGAUUAGUGGCGAACGGGUGAGUAACACGUGAGUAACCUGCCCUUAACUCUGGGAUAAGCCUGGGAAACUGGGUCUAAUACCGGAUAGGAGCGCCUACCGCAUGGUGGGUGUUGGAAAGAUUUAUCGGUUUUGGAUGGACUCGCGGCCUAUCAGCUUGUUGGUGAGGUAAUGGCUCACCAAGGCGACGACGGGUAGCCGGCCUGAGAGGGUGACCGGCCACACUGGGACUGAGACACGGCCCAGACUCCUACGGGAGGCAGCAGUGGGGAAUAUUGCACAAUGGGCGAAAGCCUGAUGCAGCGACGCCGCGUGAGGGAUGACGGCCUUCGGGUUGUAAACCUCCUUCAGUAGGGAAGAAGCGAAAGUGACGGUACCUGCAGAAGAAGCACCGGCUAACUACGUG
rnacentral:rRNA from 1 species